UACGGAGGGGGCUAGCGUUGUUCGGAAUUACUGGGCGUAAAGCGCACGUAGGCGGCUUUGUAAGUUAGAGGUGAAAGCCCAGGGCUUAACCCUGGAAUUGCCUUUAAGACUGCAUCGCUAGAAUCGUGGAGAGGUGAGUGGAAUUCCGAGUGUAGAGGUGAAAUUCGUAGAUAUUUGGAGGAAUACCGGUGGCGAAGGCGGCCUUCUGGGCCAUUCUUGACGCUGAGACGCGAAAGCGUGGGUAGCAAACAGG
rnacentral:rRNA from 1 species